CCCUCCUGGAGAGCCGGUCUAGCCGUUCAAUGAGUCAGCAGCACAGCUCCUCCAGCACGCAGAGAACAGCGGUCCAUGGAGGGAGGGCUUGAGCCUGGGGUUAUACUGAGGAAGGAUAGUGGGUUUUUCAGUCCCUGAAGCUGCUGCUCUGCCCACUCAGGAAGGUGAGGAAGGCAGACGACAGCAUACUUCCAGCCUCUGCUCUGCCCGGGUCGUUGAUGCCCUUUGGAAUGGAGAGCUGUGAAGGGGAAUGCCUAGGCCUCACAGAGGAGGCUCGUGACCCGGACAGGUGUGGGACUAGGGGCCAUGUCUGUAGCUCCCCUGCCACGGAGCAGAAUCUGCCUCUCCAUAAGCGUAAGCUCUGGGGACUGUAACAUCCAUGCUGGGCCUGGCUCCUGCCUCCCGCCUCCUGCCCAGCCCCUGCCAGCCGCACACGGUGGAGACCGGCUGCCCAAAGCUCUUGUUCUCAGAUGUGGGCAGAACGGGAAUCUGCCAUGUGCCCGUGGAUUAAAAAAAAGAAACCCAGGCUGCUUUUCUGUCUGUUAGAAAGAGCCUGCACUUCAAGAUAGUGGGGAUGUAUAUUUUAAAAAAUUUCACGCUCAUGGGCCAAAGAUUUUCCCGGGGCUGUGUGCUGAUUUGCAGCCUAUCAUGUGUGGCUUUGGGACACUGGGGAAGGUGUGGAGCUGUUUAAGUGACAAACAGGUUGGAAAAGCAAAGGACACGAGGUGAGGAUGAUGGAAUUUACAUCCUGUUGCUUCCCUGAUAGUUCCUGCCAAUAUGGGAUCCCACUACUAUCUUUCUGCCCUAAAAAUAUGUGUAUAUUGAGAUAGAAACUGUUGUAAUGGCUGCAUGCAUUCAGUAGAGGAAAGGAGAGAAGAAAGAAGGAACAGAUUUAGUCCUGCCCAGAAUCUGCACUUCCACGGAGGACGCCAGGAUAUCACGGGAGAGACUGCAGCUCUGAUCAAAUGGGGUGAGCUCUUGGCAGGAGCCAGCAUGUUCCUGUGUUCCAUUUGGGAGGACAGUUUACUUUUAUGAUGUACUUUGAAAUCAGGUGGAUGUCUGUAACUCCUGGACCUUUCCCAGCCUUUCCAGCCACGGUCAUCUCUGUGGAGUCAGGAGCAGGGACUUUGGGAUCAGCUUCUGCCCUCGUGAAAACAGCAGAGCAGCCUGAGAGCCAGGAAGGACCUCACCUGAGUAUCAGAUCACCUCAUCAGGCUGAAUUGUGUGGAUCUAGGGAUUUUAAAGAAGUGAUUAAGGUAAAAUGAGGUUAUUAGGGUGGCCCUUGACCCAGUGUGACUGGUGUCCUCAUAAGAGGAGAUUAGGACACAGCCACACAGAGGGACGACCACCUGAGGAUCCCUGAGAAGAUGGCAUCUGGAAGGUGAGGAGAGAGGCCUCAGAAGGAAUCAACUCUGCUGAUACUUGAUGCCAACUUCCAGCCUCUGAAACUGCGAGCAAGGUGGUUUGUUAUUCAGCAAUGGAUAAUUAGAGCAGUGACUCACCUUGAUGGGCCUCAUCAUCAUUCAUCCAGAAAUAUUUUAUUGAGAAAAAUAAUAUUUGCCAUGUUGUGCAAGGAGUUGGGGUUGCAAAGCUGGGUGCUGUGAUCUAUAACACAAGGCAGCAGGAUUGUCUGACCUCCGAGAGCCAUGUGCCCUGGGAUCAUCUGGCCACAGUAUCUCACAGAAUUCCUAAUGCACAGUCUGUGUGGGAGGUGAUGCUGGAGUCCCCCCUCCCUCUGGGCUCCUCCCCGUGCUCUGCUCACAUCACUGGGGGGUUGGCGGCAGCCUGCUGAGUCAUUUUGACCCUCAGCCCGCUCUCCAGCACUCAGACUGGCCGAAACCUGUGCGGCUGGCUCCACCCUCAGGUCUCCCCACUCCUCUCAUUGGCCACCUGCCUUCUCAGCCAGUGCUCUUAUUCUUGUGACUCUUGCCUGACCCUGCCUCAGCUCUGUGUCCUCCCAGACUGCUGACUGUGAGGCUUUGCCCAGCGGAUUUUCCAUCGCCAAAUUAGAGCUUUGCUUUCCUCGCCUGACUGCUCCCUGUCACUGUCUUCUGUAUCUUCCUGUUCCUGAUUUUGGCUGGCUAUCAAGAGAAGAAGAUCUACAAUCAUCCCAUCUCUCGUGGCACCUUACCAUGUGCAACUCCCUCGUAUCUAAUACCUCACUUCACCUUUUCUGUUCUUCUGUUUAUGAGCUACGUGAUGUCAGACAAGGCACUUAACUACUCUGGGCUUUGGCUCCCUUAUUUAAUGAUAGGUAUCAUAAUAAUACCUGUCCUGUCCAAUUUACAGUUUGUCUGACAGUUAUUCAUUUAACAGACAGGCAUUGGGUUCCUACUGAGUGCUGGGUGCUGUAUCCAGCAUUGCUAAGACAACGGCCGUAAGACCAGCAAGCAUGUCUGGGUUUUGCAUUCUAGUGGGACGUCUUAGUCUAUUUUCUGCUAAAACAUAAUACCACAAACUAGGCAGUUGAUGAAGAAGAUACAUUUACUUCUUGCAGUUGAAGAGGCUGGGAAGUCCAAGGGCAUGGCACUGGCAUCUGGGUCAUCCCAUGGUGGAAGGUGGAAGGGCAGAGACUAAGAAGAGCACCAGGUGCCAGACUCACUUUGUAACAACCCACUGUCACAAUAACUAACCUGACCUCACAACCCAAUCACCUCCCAACAAAGUUGCAUUGGGAUUGAAUUUAUAACACAAGAACUUUUGGGGGGCAAAUUCAAGCCAGGCAUGGGGGUUGGUGUAAAUAAAUGAAUAGUGCAU